AGAGUUUGAUCCUGGCUCAGAACGAACGCUGGCGGCAUGCCUAACACAUGCAAGUCGAACGGAUGGCAGCAAUGCCAUUAGUGGCGGACGGGUGCGUAACGCGUGGGAACCUGCCCUGAAGUUCGGAAUAACUGCGGGAAACUGCAGCUAAUACCGGAUGUGGCCUGUGGGCCAAAGGGGAAACUCGCUUCAGGAGGGGCCCGCGUCCGAUUAGCUAGUUGGCGGGGUAACGGCCCACCAAGGCGAUGAUCGGUAGCUGGUCUGAGAGGACGACCAGCCACACUGGAACUGAGAUACGGUCCAGGCUCCUACGGGAGGCAGCAGUGGGGAAUAUUGGACAAUGGGGGCAACCCUGAUCCAGCAAUGCCGCGUGGGUGAUGAAGGCCUUCGGGUUGUAAAGCCCUUUUGGCGGGGACGAUGAUGACGGUACCCGCAGAAGAAGCCCCGGCUAACUUCGUGCCAGCAGCCGCGGUAAUACGAAGGGGGCUAGCGUUGUUCGGAAUUACUGGGCGUAAAGGGCGCGUAGGCGGCCUUGUGAGUCGAGUGUGAAAGCCCUGGGCUUAACCCGGGAAGCGCGCUUGAUACUGCAGGGCUUGAGUGUGGGAGAGGUUGGUGGAAUUCCCAGUGUAGAGGUGAAAUUCGUAGAUAUUGGGAAGAACACCGGUGGCGAAGGCGACCAACUGGACCACAACUGACGCUGAGGCGCGAAAGCGUGGGGAGCAAACAGGAUUAGAUACCCUGGUAGUCCACGCCGUAAACGAUGUGGGCUAGACGCUGGAGGACCUAGUCUUUCGGUGUCGCCGCUAACGCUUUAAGCACACCGCCUGGGGAGUACGGCCGCAAGGUUAAAACUCAAAUGAAUUGACGGG
rnacentral:rRNA from 1 species